UCGGAUUGUAGUCUGCAACCCGACUACAUGAAGCUGGAAUCGCUAGUAAUCGCGGAUCAGAAUGUCGCGGUGAAUACGUUCCCGGGUCUUGUACACACCGCCCGUCACACCAUGGGAGUUUGUAACGCCCAAAGUCGGUGGCCUAACCUUUAUGGAGGGAGCCGCCUAAGGCGGGACAGAUGACUGGGGUGAAGUCGUAACAAGGUACC
rnacentral:rRNA from 1 species